CCGCCGGCGACCGGCGCACGGGUGAGUAACACGUAUGCAACCUGGCCGUGACAGAUGGAUAACCGGGAGAAAUCCCGCCUAAUACAACAUAAUGCCGGGAGGGGACAUCCCCUGCCGGCCAAAGGGGGCGACCCCGGUCACGGAUGGGCAUGCGGCGCAUUAGGUAGUUGGUGGGGCAACGGCCACCAAGCCGACGAUGCGUAGGGGUUCUGAGAGGAAGGUCCCCCACAUUGGAACUGAGACACGGUCCAAACUCCUACGGAAGGCAGCAG
rnacentral:rRNA from 1 species